rnacentral:rRNA from 1 species
GACGUAGGGUGCGAGCGUUGUCCGGAUUUAUUGGGCGUAAAGAGCUCGUAGGCGGUUUGUCGCGUCUGCCGUGAAAGUCCGGGGCUCAACUCCGGAUCUGCGGUGGGUACGGGCAGACUAGAGUGAUGUAGGGGAGACUGGAAUUCCUGGUGUAGCGGUGAAAUGCGCAGAUAUCAGGAGGAACACCGAUGGCGAAGGCAGGUCACUGGGCCGCAACUGACGCUGAGGAGCGAAAGCAUGGGGAGCAAACAGG